GGUUAAGUUAGAAAGGGCGCACGGUGGAUGCCUUGGCACUAGGAGCCGAAGAAGGACGGCACUAACACCGAUAUGCUUCGGGGAGCUGUAAGUGAGCUGUGAUCCGGAGAUUUCCGAAUGGGGGAACCCACUACUUUUAAUCGAGUAGUAUCCAUGUGUGAAUCUAUAGCACAUGAGAAGGCAGACCCAGGGAACUGAAACAUCUAAGUACCUGGAGGAAGAGAAAGCAAAUGCGAUUCCCUGAGUAGCGGCGAGCGAAACGGGAUCAGCCCAAACCAAGAGGCUUGCUUCUUGGGGUUGUAGGACACUCUAUACGGAGUUACAAAAGGUAGGAUUAGGCGAAGCGACCUGGAACGGUCCGCCGCAGCGGGUAACAGCCCCGUAGCCGAAAACCUUACCCCUCCAGAGUGGAUCCUGAGUACGGCGGAACACGUGAAAUUCCGUCGGAAUCUGGGAGGACCAUCUCCCAAGGCUAAAUACUUCCUAGUGACCGAUAGUGAACCAGUACCGUGAGGGAAAGGUGAAAAGCACCCCGGAAGGGGAGUGAAAUAGAUCCUGAAACCGUGUGCCUACAAGUAGUCAAAGCCCGUUAAUGGGUGAUGGCGUGCCUUUUGUAGAAUGAACCGGCGAGUUACGAUUACAUGCAAGGUUAAGUUGAGAAGGCGGAGCCGCAGCGAAAGCGAGUCUGAAUAGGGCGCCAGAGUAUGUAGUUGUAGACCCGAAACCAGGUGAUCUACCCAUGUCCAGGGUGAAGGUAAGGUAACACUUACUGGAGGCCCGAACCCACGCACGUUGAAAAGUGCGGGGAUGAGGUGUGGGUAGCGGAGAAAUUCCAAUCGAACCUGGAGAUAGCUGGUUCUCUCCGAAAUAGCUUUAGGGCUAGCCUCAAGAUAGAGAAUCCUGGAGGUAGAGCACUGUUUGGACUAGGGGCCCAUCCCGGGUUACCGAAUUCAGACAAACUCCGAAUGCCAGUGAUUUAUGCUUGGGAGUCAGACUGCGAGUGAUAAGAUCCGUAGUCAAGAGGGAAACAGCCCAGACCACCAGCUAAGGUCCCCAAAUAUCCGUUAAGUGGAAAAAGGAUGUGGCGUUGCUUAGACAACCAGGAUGUUGGCUAUACUACGUGU
rnacentral:rRNA from 1 species